UGGGGAAAUAUUGCACAAUGGGCGCAAGCCUGAUGCAGCGACGCCGCGUGAGGGAUGACGGCCUUCGGGUUGUAAACCUCUGUUAGCAGGGAAGAAGAGAGAUUGACGGUACCUGCAGAGAAAGCGCCGGCUAACUACGUGCCAGCAGCCGCGGUAAUACGUAGGGCGCGAGCGUUGUCCGGAAUUAUUGGGCGUAAAGAGCUUGUAGGCGGUUUGUCGCGUCUGCUGUGAAAGGCCGGAGCUUAACUCCGUGUAUUGCAGUGGGUACGGGCAGACUAGAGUGCAGUAGGGGAGACUGGAAUUCCUGGUGUAGCGGUGGAAUGCGCAGAUAUCAGGAGGAACACCGAUGGCGAAGGCAGGUCUCUGGGCUGUAACUGACGCUGAGAAGCGAAGGCAUGGGGAGCGAACAGGAUUAGAUACCCUGGUAGUCCAUGCCGUAAACGUUGGGCACUAGGUGUGGGGGACAUUCCACGUUUUCCGCGCCGUAGCUAACGCAUUAAGUGCCCCGCCUGGGGAGUACGGCCGCAAGGCUA
rnacentral:rRNA from 1 species